AGCAAUUGGAGAAGGAGUCCAUCAAAGAUCCACAGGGCCAGUAUGCACUGUCCUACUUUCAUCAUUAACCAUGUGGCAUCGAAGCAAAGCUGAAUCACAAACCAGGAAAUAUCUGCCCUUGUAAGACUAAUCUCCAGAAGAAAGAAAAGUGAAACCUCCCAGAAUGCUCCGAUGGGAGGAGAGGGAAAGGAGAACUCAUCUCCCUAGAGAUAGAGGGGAGAAUGGAGCAAGAAGAGCUCACUCUGGAGGCCAGAUCAACUCCCAGAACAAAGAGAACUGGUGAGGAAAUGAGAAAUGAAAAGAAGCUGCAGAGGUGAUGAGUGGCUGAGCAGAGGGAAGAAGAUUGAAAUCGAUUGCCUGUAGUGGGGGCAUGCCAGUGUGCAUUGAGUGGAUUGACUCCAUACAACACAGAAAAGUCUCAGACUUUGGAACCAACAGGCACCUCUGGGAGCCAAUGUACAGACUGGAGCUGAGAACAGGACUGGUUAAAAAUCUACAUGGAGCUUUUAGACAUCUCCCACCUCUUCUACCCAUCUGUACGGUUAGUGAUCUAUCCCUUCUCAACUUCAGGCAGAAGACAAGAGGCUUACUCCCAGAAAAAGCUGAACUUGAGAGACUCUUGACUCAAACCCCAAGCACAGCUAAGGUCAGAGGCAAGGUGUCAUACAGAAAAUGGGAGAUGAAGUGAAAAUCUAUGAGGCUCUUUGAGCCCCUUUCCCAAGUCUGGAGUUAUCCCCUCCAGGCAGGAAACUGCAAGAUUCUUCUCUGGGAAAACAGAAUGGUCCGAGGAGGAGACAAGCAAAGAGCUAGGUUCCAGCUCUAUAGCAAUCUGGAAGCCAGCCAGUGCCACCCUGGCACACAGAGCUCCUCGUGGGCUUUUUAGGGCCGCACUCUUAACUAUGCAUGGACAGGCAAAGAUCUCCAAAUAUUUGAGGAAGCACUCUAACAUGAAAGACAGACCAACGCAAAGAGAAAAAAUCAGGAGAGUUGAUUGGACUUGGAAGAAAUAGAGGUCAAUGGAGUGAGCAGGAAAAAGCUUUAGGGGAAAAAAACUUUAAUAAAUAAUUUAGAAAAACAAUAAUAACAAACAAACAUCGACCUAGAGAUUAGAUUGGUGGUUACCAGAGGGGAAGCGGGGAGGGAUGAGGGUGGAAGAGGUGACAGGGCACGUGUGUACAGUGACAGAAGGUAAUUAGUCUUUGGGUGGUGAACAUAAUGUGGUCUACACAGAAACUGAAAUAUAAUGAUAUGUGCCUGAAAUUUACAUAAUGUUAUAAACCAAUGUUGCCUCAACAACAACAAAAAAGACCUCACAGCUCUGAAACAAAUAAAUAAAUACAUGACUUCAGGAAGAUGGGAUGAGACUUUAUAAAACAAAACUGGGAAACUAAAAAACAUGUUAUAUUUUAAGCACAAGGAUUUUGUUGUAUUAUCCUUUAUACCAUUUUGCAUGUCUUAAAUAUCCUUUAAUAAUUUUUUGAAAAAACAAAAUAAAAGCUAACUAGACCAAAAUUGAAAUACUUUAUUUCUAGCAAAAAAUAUAUAUUAGUUUUCACAUACUUCAACAGAACUUAUGGUAAAAGAAAAGCAAAGACAGAGCUCACAAUUCAUAUGAAAAAUGAACAAUCAGAAAAUAAAGAAGAGCUCUUGAGAUUAAAAUGCUAGCAGUAAAAAAGUCAACAGAAGAGUUUCAAGAUAAAAUCAAAUACUCUCCCAGUAAGUAGAACAAGAAGACAAAAAAUUGGAAAAUGGAAGAGAAAAGAAAGAAAAAUAAGAGAAUUAACCCAGAAUAUUCAACAUCAGGGUAAUACGAGUUCCCAAAAUAUAGAAUAGAGCUCCAGCUACCAUCUUAUUUCUUAUCUUCCCUUUUUGGCAAAAUUCCUUAAAAGAGUUGUCUACACUCACUAUUUCCAGUUCCUUCCCUCCUUCUCUCUUAACCCACUCCAAUCUGAUUUUCACCCCUGACAUUCCACUAAAACUACUUUUAACAAGAUCACCAAAAAGAAGAUCAUAUGUCAGUCUUGCUCUUACUUUGGCUUAUCAGCAGCACCUGACAGAGCAGAUCACUCCCUCCUCCUUGGAAAACUCUGCUGGGCUUGUGGAACUCCACACACGCCUACACUUCUCCUACUUUCUGGCUACUUCCUCUCAGUGUCUCCUGGUGUUUCUUACUCAAUGCCCUGAUCUCUAAAUACGGGCAGUGCCUCCAGACUCAGCCUUUGGAUGUC
ensembl:lncRNA